GGACCUUUAGCUCAGUUGGUUAGAGCAGACGGUUCAUAACCGUCCGGUCGUAGGUUCGAGUCCUACAGGGUUCA
rnacentral:tRNA from 1 species